rnacentral:rRNA from 1 species
UACAGAGGGGGCAAGCGUUGUUCGGAAUUACUGGGCGUAAAGGGCGCGUAGGCGGGAUGGCAAGUCGGUCGUGAAAUCCCUCGGCUCAACUGAGGAUCGUCGAUCGAUACUGCCGUUCUUGAGGAUUGCAGAGGAGACUGGAAUUCCCGGUGUAGCGGUGAAAAUGUGUAGAGAUCGGGAGGAACACCGGUGGCGAAGGCGGGUCUCUGGGCCGUAACUGACGCUGAGGAGCGAAAGCGUGGGGAGCAAACAGG